rnacentral:misc_RNA from 1 species
AACGCACGAGACCUGCGGACCUGCGGAAGGAUCAUUAUUGAAUCCAAAGGGAUGCUGCUGGCUUUCACAAGCCGUGCACUCCCGCCUUUAUAUCCACCUGUGCACUUGCAGUAGACCAGGAUUCAUUUCCGAGUCUAUGUUUUUCAUAUACACUUUAAACUGUGAAUGUAUUUAGGCUUUGGCCAAAAAUAAUACAACUUUUAACAAUGGAUCUCUAGAUCGGAAGAGCACACAUCUGAA